ensembl:snRNA U6 U6 spliceosomal RNA
AUGCUCCUUCAGCAGCAUAUUCACUACAAUUGGAAUGAUACAGAGAAGAUUAGCAUGGCCCCUUGAGAGGGUGAUAUGCAAAUUCGUGAAGCAUUCCAUAUUUUU